CUAGCACGUGGUGCCGCGCGGUGAAACACCUCUUCCCAUUAAUUUUCAAUGGAAGGAAAGCGGUGAGAAGCAGAGGGCGGUGGAUCAUUGGGCGGCACGAACGUGGUGUGGGAGAGGGUGAAAAGUUCAACAUUUCCCAACUUUAUGCAAAUCACCAGCAUCGACCGCUGGGCGAGGACCUGUUACGGUUUUCUUCCGUCGAAGGAGAGUCGGACCAAAAUGCAGCGUGGUUAGUUCGAUACCAAUCAGAGACAACGAAAUCAUCUGCCUCCUGAUUAAGAACCGCCUCAGGCAACCAUAGACUUUCCUAGACAACCCUACUCAGCCACAAUCCCAAUACCUACUAAAACCCCAAUACAAAAACACACCACGAAAUAAACCCAUGUCACACCCUGGCCUGACCAAAUAAAGAAAGAAAACACAAAAUACUAAGACCAAGGCGUGACAGGACCAAUCAUAUCAAGUUGUUCCCACAACAAAUUUGACGCUAUGCAACCCAAGGCUGGAGACUUUCUUCAGCAAAGAUGGCUGACAAAAAUACUAGGAUGGAAGCAAAUUCUUCCUGGUUUUGACCCCUACCUGUCUCUGGACUACUUUCCCGCCUGCCUGAUCAUCCUGCCUGCUCUGACCUUGAGCCUGCCCUUCGGUACCUUUUGGACUCUGAACUGGUUUUGACCCUUUUGCCUGUCCAUGACCAUUCUCCACGACCAUCCUCCUUACCCUAUUGAAUUAAUAAAUAUUGUAAGGCUCCAA